rnacentral:rRNA from 1 species
GACGUAGGUGGCGAGCGUUGUUCGGAAUCACUGGGCAUAAAGCGCGCGUAGGCGGCCAAGUCAGUCGGGUGUGAAAGCCCUCGGCUCAACCGAGGAACUGCGCCCGAUACUGCUUGGCUUGAGGGUUGGAGGGGAGAGUGGAAUUCCCGGUGGAGCGGUGAAAUGCGUAGAUAUCUGGAGGAACACCGGUGGCGAAGGCGGCAUCCUGGACCGGCAUUGACGCUGAGGCGCGAAAGCCAGGGGAGCAAACGGG